CAGUCGUACGCUUCUUUUUCCCCGGAGCUUGCUCCACCGGAAAAAGAAGAGUGGCGAACGGGUGAGUAACACGUGGGUAACCUGCCCAUCAGAAGGGGAUAACACUUGGAAACAGGUGCUAAUACCGUAUAACAAUCGAAACCGCAUGGUUUUGAUUUGAAAGGCGCUUUCGGGUGUCGCUGAUGGAUGGACCCGCGGUGCAUUAGCUAGUUGGUGAGGUAACGGCUCACCAAGGCCACGAUGCAUAGCCGACCUGAGAGGGUGAUCGGCCACAUUGGGACUGAGACACGGCCCAAACUCCUACGGGAGGCAGCAGUAGGGAAUCUUCGGCAAUGGACGAAAGUCUGACCGAGCAACGCCGCGUGAGUGAAGAAGGUUUUCGGAUCGUAAAACUCUGUUGUUAGAGAAGAACAAGGAUGAGAGUAACUGUUCAUCCCUUGACGGUAUCUAACCAGAAAGCCACGGCUAACUACGUGCCAGCAGCCGCGGUAAUACGUAGGUGGCAAGCGUUGUCCGGAUUUAUUGGGCGUAAAGCGAGCGCAGGCGGUUUCUUAAGUCUGAUGUGAAAGCCCCCGGCUCAACCGGGGAGGGUCAUUGGAAACUGGGAGACUUGAGUGCAGAAGAGGAGAGUGGAAUUCCAUGUGUAGCGGUGAAAUGCGUAGAUAUAUGGAGGAACACCAGUGGCGAAGGCGGCUCUCUGGUCUGUAACUGACGCUGAGGCUCGAAAGCGUGGGGAGCAAACAGGAUUAGAUACCCUGGUAGUCCACGCCGUAAACGAUGAGUGCUAAGUGUUGGAGGGUUUCCGCCCUUCAGUGCUGCAGCUAACGCAUUAAGCACUCCGCCUGGGGAGUACGACCGCAAGGUUGAAACUCAAAGGAAUUGACGGGGGCCCGCACAAGCGGUGGAGCAUGUGGUUUAAUUCGAAGCAACGCGAAGAACCUUACCAGGUCUUGACAUCCUUUGACCACUCUAGAGAUAGAGCUUCCCCUUCGGGGGCAAAGUGACAGGUGGUGCAUGGUUGUCGUCAGCUCGUGUCGUGAGAUGUUGGGUUAAGUCCCGCAACGAGCGCAACCCUUAUUGUUAGUUGCCAUCAUUUAGUUGGGCACUCUAGCAAGACUGCCGGUGACAAACCGGAGGAAGGUGGGGAUGACGUCAAAUCAUCAUGCCCCUUAUGACCUGGGCUACACACGUGCUACAAUGGGAAGUACAACGAGUCGCGAAGUCGCGAGGCUAAGCUAAUCUCUUAAAGCUUCUCUCAGUUCGGAUUGUAGGCUGCAACUCGCCUACAUGAAGCCGGAAUCGCUAGUAAUCGCGGAUCAGCACGCCGCGGUGAAUACGUUCCCGGGCCUUGUACACACCGCCCGUCACACCACGAGAGUUUGUAACACCCGAAGUCGGUGAGGUAACCUUUGGAGCCAGCCG
rnacentral:rRNA from 1 species